AUUGAACGCUAGCGGCAUGCCUUACACAUGCAAGUCGAACGGUAACAGGUCUUCGGAUGCUGACGAGUGGCGAACGGGUGAGUAAUACAUCGGAACGUGCCUAGUAGUGGGGGAUAACUACUCGAAAGAGUGGCUAAUACCGCAUGAGAUCUACGGAUGAAAGCAGGGGAUCGCAAGACCUUGUGCUACUAGAGCGGCCGAUGGCAGAUUAGGUAGUUGGUGGGAUAAAAGCUGACCAAGCCGACGAUCUGUAGCUGGUCUGAGAGGACGAUCAGCCACACUGGGACUGAGACACCGCCCAGACUCCUACGGGAGGCAGCAGUGGGGAAUUUUGGACAAUGGGCGAAAGCCUGAUCCAGCAAUGCCGCGUGCAGGAUGAAGGCCUUCGGGUUGUAAACUGCUUUUGUACGGAACGAAAAGCCCCGGGUUAAUACCCUGGGGUCAUGACGGUACCGUAAGAAUAAGCACCGGCUAACUACGUGCCAGCCGCCGCCGUAA
rnacentral:rRNA from 1 species